CCUGCCAACUGGCGGGAGCCGAGUCGUCCGGGCCAAUGAAGGGCCGAAAUUACCAGCUAAGCUCCACCUCCGGAGAAGGAGAACAGAAAGAAAAAGAGUUGUGAUGAUGAAAGCAGAAGUCUUAGUGAUACGAUCAAGGAAUAUGGGCAGCCUCAAGAAGCUAGAAAAGUGGCAAGAGAAGCCCAGAUUGGCAAAUGGCAGCCUUAGUUUACAAUCCAGUGGAGCUGUUUUCACGUCCUCUGGUGGAAGCAUUCCUCCCUUGGGUAAUAAAAUUUGAGAAGAGCCAUGCUCAGAAUCACAGAGACAUGAAGAUCAACAUUUAGUACUCCAUUCGAUAGAACAGAAUUGCCAUUCCACAUUUACCCUUUCUUCCUGGUUCUAAGUGAAAUGCUACUGCAGUUUGCUUAUUGGUUCAGAACUCACCGUGCAUCUUACGGGAUAGAACUUCAGUCUCUCAAGAUGUUGUCUCUUACUUACGGCCGUGUAUUGGGCACCUUUGGUGCCUGUUGGUACACCUUUCUACUCCAGCCAUUGCUGUGGGUACCAUGUUCAUGCAGGUGUGACCUUACAGUCCAAGGCUUCAACUGCUUUCUUCAAGUAUCUCGCGUUCUGCCCCAGGGCUUUCAUGGAAUUCACCCGAUGGGAUCUGGGGGAACAUGCACAGUUAUUUUGAUACACAUGUCGACCUGAAAGUGACAACUUGAGAAUGCAGAGGAGUUAAUGAGCAAUUGGGAAACCCUUCACCAAUAAAGGACAGGAGCUUGUGAAUAAAUACUCCCUCUUCCUUCCCUAGUUGGACAAUUAUGAGGCACAUUCUGCUUCAGAAUGUCUCCAGGGGAAUCAAAACCCACACAUCCAAAGCAGUGACCUUCUGGAUCAAUCAUCCUUGGAUUGGCUUUCCUGGUUUGCCUGUAUUUUACUCUUCCUAGUCUCUGACCCCAUGUUCCUUGAGAUUACUCCUGAAAAUAAACUACCUGUUUGUAAGCACUUGUCUCAGACUCUGCUUUUGGGGGAAACUAAGUCUAAAAGAUUUGGUAGUAGGAGUGACCCUAGAAAGCAGAUUCUCAGUAUGGGAUUCUGGAACUGGCUCAGACCUCAAUGAGCACCCCGUUCCCCGUGGUAUGUGCAGUAGUGAUAAUCCUUGACAAUGCAGUAGCCUCA